CUCUUUCUCUGUCGUAGUUCUCUUUCUAUAUCAUCUAAUACGUUUUCUCUGUGGCAUGCUUCUCUUUCUUUCAAACUUCUUUCAAAAUUCUUCUCUGUCGUAGUUCAGUCCCCUUCUCGCUUUUAGGGUUUUCAAUUUCUUCAAAGGCACCCGAUCCUAAUCACUCCGAUACCAGCGCCACCAAAGACGACGCCAUUGCAAAGAAGAAGGUCGAGAACGAAGAUCUGUCCGAUGAGGAUUUGGCACUGAAGCAGCAACUAGAGUUGUGCGUGUAGAGGGUUCAAGAUCCCGACUAGGGAUUGCAGAAGGUUGUGAUGAGAUUGCAGGUGCCAUUGGAGGCAUUGCUGCUUCACUGAUUCGUGUUCCAACUGAGGAUGAAAUAUGUAAAUCCAUUGCUGAGAAAGGUGGUAUUGAUGCAGUACUAUAGAUGACAGUGGUGAACAAGGGAACAAAGCUGUUGCCAAAGUUUGUUGCUCAUUGCUUUCAAAGAAACAAGACCUUGGUCCAGAUGCGGGCACGUGGAAAAUGUUGAAUGAAAAUGCUGAGUUCAAGGCUCUUGCUUUGAAAGAAAUUCACACAGCAUCCGAUGGAACAAGAAAGGAUAUUGCAGAUUUUAUUCACAUUGGAUGAUGGGAUGGUCAUAGAAACAGUUGUCAUACCUUGUGACAGAGGUAGGACUACUGUGUGUGUUUUGAGUCAAGUUGGAUGUGCCAUGAAUUGUCAAUUUUGCUACACUGGAAGGCAAGCCUUAUUUUUACCUGUUGAUAUUAAUUUGGUGGUUACACUGAGUCAUACUUUUCCUGCAAGUUUAUUAUGCAUAAUUAAUUUGCAGAAUGGGUCUUAGGAGACAUCUUACUACUGCAGAAAUAGUAGAGCAGGCUGUUUUUGCCAGACGCCUGCUCACAAAUGAAGUUGGUUCCAUCACAAAUGUUGUCUUUAUGGUAGGUUUACAAUUUCAUUGAUAAUUCUAAUGCUUUUUGUAUAUCAACAAUCCUUUUAGAUCAAAACUUCUACGUUAUUCCUAGCUAAUAAGAAGCCACUUGCCUGUUAGAUCUUUGAUUGUUUUUAAUGUGCAUUUUUUUCAUUGAUAUGCGGACAUGUUUAUAAUGAUAGAUAUAUCUCUUAUCCUGGACUGGAAACUAAAGAAUAUUUUCAUUUCAACUUCCAAGUGGACUUUUUACAUUUCUUCUUAUAAUAGCACAUGCUAGUUGUUCCUUUCUUUUUUAGCUGUCUGUGUUUCCAUGAUAAUCUCGUGGAGUAAUGCCUUCACUUUCCAAAAUAAGUAUUUUUGUGUAUGGUUUCUUACGUGUCAGCAUUUUUAGAACAUGUUUGUGAACCGUUUGUUUAAUUUGUAAUGGACAUUCACACAUCUCAAAGCAUGAAGUGGAGAAUAAUUUGUUACAUUAUGGUUGA